rnacentral:lncRNA from 1 species
GGCGGGUGGGUGCGUGCUUCCUCCCUGCCCCAGGGCUUCUCCCUGAGGCUGGUAGGUGGGCCCCUCGCUUUCUGCUCUUUUCCUAGUCCCUGUCACACAGUAGGCCCAGUGCAAGUAUUUGAAGGGUGCAAAGUGAUUAAGGCUCUGCCUGGAGAAUUAAGGACCCUGAUCCUUGCGCUCUGCACUGCACCCCAGGCUCUGACGUUCCCUUUUGGGCCAUCAAGAACAGCUGGGGCACUGACUGGGGUGAGAAGGGUUACUACUACUUGCAUCGUGGGUCCGGGGCCUGUGGCGUGAACACCAUGGCCAGCUCGGCGGUGGUGGACUGAAGAGGGGCCCCCAGCUCGGGACCUGGUGCUGAUCAGAGUGGCUGCUGCCCCAGCCUGACAUGUGUCCAGGCCCCUCCCCGGGAGGUACAGCUGGCAGAGGGAAAGGCACUGGGUACCUCAGGGUGAGCAGAGGGCACUGGGCUGGGGCACAGCCCCUGCUUCCCUGCACCCCAUUCCCACCCUGAAGUUCUGCACCUGCACCUUUGUUGAAUUGUGGUAGCUUAGGAGGAUGUCGGGGUGAAGGGUGGUAUCUUGGCAGUUGAAGCUGGGGCAAGAACUCUGGGCUUGGGUAAUGAGCAGGAAGAAAAUUUUCUGAUCUUAAGCCCAGCUCUGUUCUGCCCCCGCUUUCCUCUGUUUGAUACUAUAAAUUUUCUGGUUCCCUUGGAUUUAGGGAUAGUGUCCCUCUCCAUGUCCAGGAAACUUGUAACCACCCUUUUCUAACAGCAAUAAAGAGGUGUCCUUGUC